rnacentral:rRNA from 1 species
UUGACCUACGGGAGGCAGCAGUGGGGAAUAUUGCACAAUGGGGGAAACCCUGAUGCAGCGACGCCGCGUGGGCGAGGAAGUACCUCGGUAUGUAAAGCCCUAUCAGCAGGGAAGAAACAGGACAGUACCUGACUAAGAAGCCCCGGCUAACUACGUGCCAGCAGCCGCGGUAAUACGGAGGAUGCGAGCGUUAUCCGGAUUUAUUGGGUUUAAAGGGUGCGCAGGCGGUCUGUUAAGUCAGCGGUCAAAGCCCGGGGCUCAACCCCGGCCCGCCGUUGAAACUGGCAGUCUCGAGUUGGAGAGAA